CUGCGUUGUCUGCGUCUGACGGUGCAGUGUGGCCUUAACUCAUCCUGGACACAUUCUAAAGCUCUUAUACUAAAAGUAUUCUGUGUUUUCUCUUGUUUGCUGGAACAGAAACCAUCUCUAUCUGUCCGAAAAUCAUGGAGUGGGCCUAUGAAGUCUAGUCUCACAAUAUAAACAGCAGACCAGGUGAAAGGCACAGGACAUUAUGAGAUGGCUCUUCUGGCAUUCAGUAGCAGCCGUUGACAUCAGUAAUGACAGGAACGUCAGGUCAAUCUGCUGCUGUCCAGAAUCAGGUGGUUUGUCUUCGUCUGGCAUCUCAGCUGAGACCUGUCCACUAUGGGUGACCCUACCAGUAGUUGUGAAGUACCAGUAGCGUAGCUCUCAGCAUCACUGAUGCACACAAGCCCUCACAGCACGUCAAGCUGCAAACCGUGUGAGAGACCCUAACCUACCCUAACCUACCCUAACCAGCCACUCAAAACAUCCUAACAACCACAGAGCAACGCACGAAAAACCAACCAGAAGAGGCCAGCAACCGCAAAGCAACACGCUAACAACCGUGCAAAAAACCUUGGCAAACGCAUGUCAACACACAGGAAACCACCCAAAACAUCCCAACAACCUCGUAGCAAAAACCACUUAGAACAUCCUGGGAACCGAAUAUCAACGCAUUGACAAUCACCAAAAACAUUCUAACAACCAGACAGCAAUGUGCAAAAGACUUACUCCAGAAAAUAAAACUUACUAUAGAAAAUGAAACUUGCUCAUAAAACUAUAAACUUACUCUAUGACUAUAUACAGUAUUUACAUACGUCGGUCCCGCUGUGUGAUUCUCCGGGCUCCAUGUGACACUGUGAUGACUCAGUGUCUGGGCUUCUUUCUCCGGGGUUCCUCAGGCAGGGGCUCUUCACUGAUGUCCACGUGGAUUUGAGGAGCGAAGCUUCUGCUGGUUGUGGAGAAGCUCUCAGUGAUCAGGACGCGUCCAUCAGGCUGCUCCGUCUCCACCAGUGAAGGGCACUUGAGUGUCUCCCACAGCCGCUGCUUGAUCUUCAGUCCCAGCUCAAGACUGUAGGGACGGCGCCGACCGCAGCGUGUCUUCAUCAUGGGCUCCGCCACAGAGCUGUAGAUGUCCUGGUAGUCCCUGCACGCUGCAGCCGUGGAUGGAGACAGGCUCUUCCUGCUGACACACGUCCACUGAAGAGACUGAGGCUGCUGGACGGAUUUCAGGAAGGACAGCAGCGUUCUUCAGGAGGUAGCGCUCCUCCAAACACGUGGGUCUUUGAGCUUUCCCAGAGAUACAGCUGUAAGUGUGAUCCAACCUGAUUACAGCUGCCAGCUGUGAAAGCUCACAGGGGUCUGGACUGGAAGAGACGCCCUCCAACAAGAAUCCCCUCAGGUGUGUGGGAAGAGCCCUGCUUCUUCUCGAGCGACGCUGCAUCAUGAUGGUGACAGGAGAAACACUUUCCAAACUGGACAACUUGAUGAAACUUACCAAAUUGUAUAGAUGUAAAGCGCUUGUAGCACGUGUGAUCAGGCUUCAAGGCUUCAGAAACAGUUGUUUUGAUUUCAAAUAUUCAAAUAUCAACUCAAGCUGCUGGACUGACAUAGAAUAUUGAGGCUCAUUUAAAUGUAAA